rnacentral:lncRNA from 1 species
UUCUGAUAAAAAUGUUAAAAUAUUAUUACCAAUUUUUCAAUUUUUAACAGAAAUGCAACGGUAACAAAAAAAUAUAUAAAAUAAAAAUAAAUCUAAAUAGCUAUUCAAUCAAACCUAGAAAGGACAGACAUAACAAACCGGACAACUAGCGUGAGGCCUCUAUCAAUCCACACUUACCUCCUGUCGCAAAAAAAUUAAACCACAGUUAUUCCGAGAGUCAGAACCGGUAAAAUUUAGCCUCUCCGAUGAUCUGCUCUUUAUGAUUGGCCCAACUAAGAACAACUUGAGAAAGUGACUUCCUGAGCAUCCGCCAUCACGAAGUUAGACAAGCCAGCAGCCUAGCACACCCACCACAACAUCGAGCAAUAUUAUUCGGACGUACAGCCACCAAAGAACUCCACGCCAAUGACCUAUACAAAACAGGCAGAAAAAACAGCAGCAAACUCCACACA